UGUUUUUUUAAUAGUUCAGCCCUUCUUUGCCUCUCGUCGACCUGUCUGGCAGCGAAACCCAGAAAAGUCUCGGCCAGCACGCAGCUUUGCGAAAAUAGGUCCUCGCGGGACACACACUGGUCCUGGGACGAGUACUGUUAAAACAAACAUAUUAUUAACAGUCAUUGAUAGUAACGCAUGGUAACAUGCAACACAAUGUUUCAUAUGACAAAAUGAAGUGUACAUGGAGAUCCACAUGUACAAUAUCAAAUGUUAUUGUUAAUAUUAUUGAACCGUAAAACUAUAGAAACAAUAAAAUAUAGUCUAGCUUCAGAAUAAUAAUGAUAUUGAAAAGUAAAAUCACAGAAAUACUUACACACAUCAGCCGGCAUUUGGUUCUCAGAGCUUGCACCUGAGGGUUUGUGGCUCUGGGCGAUUUCGCCGGGGAAGAAAAGUUUGCCAUUCUAGAAACAAAAAGAGAUGCAUAAUAUGUGACGAUGUCCACAUUUACUUAAACAUGAAUUGCAUUCAUGGUCAAAAUAUGGGGAAAAAUAGGAAAGCGCUUACCUUUCAGCUGCGUUCACGGUGAUAGACAGAGGUAGGAAAAAAAUGAUCGAAUGACCUCUUUUAUACGUGAUUCUACGACGAUGUGAUGGGCGUGGAAUUCUUGGACACUGGACAGUUGUCAUGUAUUAUUGGAUGCUCCAAAUGUGGGCAUGGCACAGCGGCAAACUGUUGUAUUUGAUUCUGGCGUUGUUUGAAGGUUCAAACGAUGCAUUCAUGGCCCUUUGAUCAUCUGUUGGAAUCUCAGAAUGAAACACCUGUGCAGGCCGUCCGUUGCAGCAAAGACACCCGACAGUGUAUAAAUGGACAUUUUGUCAUACUGUCGAGACAGUUACAUCGAUAUUACUGCUGCGAAAAUGGCACAUUUCUCGUCUCCUGCAAGGUUUAUCAGCAUAGAUGACCCCGAGGUGGACUCCAUCAGGAGCCAGUGCCAGGUGUUGAGUUAUUCAUGCAGAGAUCGCAGUGUGCCCAGGGUUGAAUUAAAUCAACAAUGUGUGGAGGUGAGCC